rnacentral:misc_RNA from 1 species
GUAUUUAUUUUUGGUUUAUCUCUUGGUAAAUCCAAAAGAUUUGAGAUGUCUCGUCUGUUUGGGCGAGUAUCUUUAAUAUUAUAGCCUCUUUUGUGGUAAAACAACUCUGCAGAACAGUAUUUGAAUGGAACUUUUUGUUUCUUUAAUGCCUAAUAUGCAGACUUACCUAUUGAAAAGGGGGUCCAUAAACUUAAAGUGGUCUAACCACUUGAA